AAUCGUCUAGGACACCGUGCUUUUCAGAGCAAUGAAAUAUAUCAUUUCAUUGCCUUAUAAAAAAUAAAUAAAUUAAUAAAAUGUGACACCAUGCUAUAACAAGUUUGUGAUGAGUGCUCCAGGGAGGAAGUGUUCCACUUAACCAUUUAAGUCAAGCAAAGUGAAGUUAAUCUGAGUGCUGAGAGGUCACAGAGCAGAAACAUUGCAAAAUUCAAACUGAUAGUCUGUUCUGACUAAGAGUCUGCAUCAAUAUGAUGCGAUUUUUUUUUUUUAAAUCAGUGUUCAUCUUUAAUAACUGGCUUUACUGAUCGGUUGCAACUUUAGCCUGGAAGUUGGGGCAUUUCUACGUAACAAAAUUAUAGACAGUAGAGGAAGAAUGAUGAGGGACAGAAAGCAGUAAGGAUGUCUGGUAUUUUUCACAGACAUAAAUAUCCAAAUCAGGACUGUUAUGCAAGAAGAAGAACAAACAGUAACCUUAAUGCUACUUGUAAACUUUGCUGCCUGCGGGAGGAAGUAGCCAAUCUGUCAAAGUGAAUUAGGAACCUCAUCUUCCAGGAGUAUUGGAAACAAUGGUCUAUCAGAAGAUGGAAAGGAGACGAAGAUCAUCUCCACCUAAUAAAAGGAAAUAUGAGUCAACCAAAACACUUGCAUUGUCACACAAAAAAAAAAAAACAUUUUCCUACAGCUGUAUCCAGUAAGUGUGGACUCAUCUUCUCUCUCUCUCUCUGUUACGAUUCACAGCUGGCUUAUAGAGUGACCCCGAGGACAUUCACCACUACUCAUGGAGUUCUCAAGACAAAGAGGGAAAUGGAAGUAGGUUGCCAGGUCUGUCUUCCUUAUCACACAUGCACUCUAUCACCUGCAGCCAAUUUAGAGUCUCCAUUCCACCUACGGAAUGUUUAAAUUGUGGGAAAAACUGGAGCACCUGCAGAAAACCCCCACAAAGCAUCCAAGCUGAGAAACGAACCAGAGAACAUGUUGCUACGAGGCAAUGCUACCUGCUGAGCACUGCGAGCCAUGCAAACUCAUCAGUAUUUUCAGUAUCUAAUUUCAGAAGUCCUUGUACAUCCUGGUUUAAAUACAACACUAAAACUAUGGCAGCAAACUGGCAUCUUGCUGUUGGCAUGAUUUGCUAAGCAUGCGCAUUGAAAUGGUCAGCCUGGGAUGUACAGGGCUGGAGUUAUUCGGAAAAUUUGCAAAAGUUAUAGAAUUAUGUCAUUUUCCUUAUCUGCAGUACUAAUGCAAACAUGGAGUGGGAUACAGUCAUGAUGGGGAGUCACAUAUGCAAGCAAUAGGUAUUAUUAAAAAAUGACAUUAAAAAAGUG